rnacentral:tRNA from 1 species
GAAAUAUAUAAAAUGUAAGCUGCUAACUUAACAUCAUAGCGUUUAAAACCGUUAAUAUUUCU